rnacentral:rRNA from 1 species
CACGUAGGGCGCAAGCGUUGUCCGGAAUUAUUGGGCGUAAAGAGCUCGUAGGCGGUCUGUUGCGUCCGCUGUGAAAACUCGGGGCUUAACCCCGAGCCUGCAGUGGAUACGGGCAGACUAGAGGUAGGUAGGGGAGAAUGGAAUUCCUGGUGUAGCGGUGAAAUGCGUAGAUAUCAGGAAGAACACCAAUGGCGAAAGCAGCUCUCUGGGACGGUACUGACGCUGAGACGCGAAAGCGUGGGGAGCGAACAGG